rnacentral:rRNA from 1 species
UGCAGUCGAGCGCGGGAAGCGAGCGGAUCCCUUCGGGGUGAAGCUCGUGGAACGAGCGGCGGACGGGUGAGUAACACGUGGGCAACCUGCCUGUAAGAUCGGAAUAACCCCGGGAAACCGGGGCUAAUGCCGGGUAAUACUUUUCUUCGCAUGAAGAUGAGUUGAAAGAUGGCUUCUCGCUAUCACUUACAGAUGGGCCCGCGGCGCAUUAGCUAGUUGGUGAGGUAACGGCUCACCAAGGCAACGAUGCGUAGCCGACCUGAGAGGGUGAUCGGCCACACUGGGACUGAGACACGGCCCAGACUCCUACGGGAGGCAGCAGUAGGGAAUCUUCCGCAAUGGACGAAAGUCUGACGGAGCAACGCCGCGUGAACGAUGAAGGUCUUCGGAUCGUAAAGUUCUGUUGUCAGGGAAGAACAAGUACCGUGCGAAUAGAGCGGUACCUUGACGGUACCUGACGAGGAAGCCCCGGCUAACUACGUGCCAGCAGCCGCGGUAAUACGUAGGGGGCAAGCGUUGUCCGGAAUUAUUGGGCGUAAAGCGCGCGCAGGCGGUUCCUUAAGUCUGAUGUGAAAGCCCACGGCUCAACCGUGGAGGGUCAUUGGAAACUGGGGAACUUGAGGACAGAAGAGGAGAGUGGAAUUCCACGUGUAGCGGUGAAAUGCGUAGAUAUGUGGAGGAACACCAGUGGCGAAGGCGACUCUCUGGUCUGUUUCUGACGCUG